rnacentral:lncRNA from 1 species
UGGAAACUUUUUUAUAAACAAUGUCAUAAUAUAUGUUCCUGAUGGAACAAAUAUCCUAUACCAUUCAUUCCGUUAGGAACAUUUACUGUAAUAUUUAUUCCAGAGGAAAUAAUAUUCCAUUUGGAACUUAUAUUAUGAAGGAACUUUUAUUCCGUGACAUCACCACUGUAACAGAGAAAUGGAAGUCACAGACAUGUUUCACACCGUGACACUCUUUUUUUGGCUUGUCCCAAGUCUGUAGCCUGUAAUUCAAUGGCUGUCUUUAGUUGCUUUAUGUCAUUACUGUUUUUCUUUUAUUGGCGUUGAGCAACAUGAUAGGUGAAAUAUAAGGGACAGGAUCUGCUUACAUUUCCA